CUUGACAUCCAGAGAAUCUAGCGGAGACGCUGGAGUGCCUUCGGGAGCUCUGAGACAGGUGCUGCAUGGCUGUCGUCAGCUCGUGUUGUGAAAUGUUGGGUUAAGUCCCGCAACGAGCGCAACCCUUAUCCUUGUUUGCCAGCACGUAAUGGUGGGAACUCCAGGGAGACUGCCGGUGAUAAACCGGAGGAAGGUGGGGACGACGUCAAGUCAUCAUGGCCCUUACGAGUAGGGCUACACACGUGCUACAAUGGCGUAUACAGAGGGCAGCGAUACCGCGAGGUGGAGCGAAUCUCACAAAGUACGUCGUAGUCCGGAUUGGAGUCUGCAACUCGACUCCAUGAAGUCGGAAUCGC
rnacentral:rRNA from 1 species